rnacentral:tRNA from 1 species
UCCCGGGUAGCUCAGUGGUAGAGCGAUGCGCUGUUAACGCAUUGGCCGUCGGUUCGAAUCCGACCCCGGGAGCCA